GACAGAGGUGCCGAGCGUUAGGCGGAAUCACUGGGCUUAAAGCGUGUGUAGGCGGAUGGGUAAGUACCUUGUGAAAUCCCACGGCUCAACCGUGGAACUGCUCGGUAUACUGCUCGUCUUGAGCCAACUAGGGGCGACCGGAACAAACGGUGGAGCGGUGAAAUGCGUAGAUAUCAUUUGGAACGCCAAUGGUGAAAACAGGUAGCUGGGGCUGUGCUGACGCUGAGACACGAAAGCCAGGGGAGCAAACGGG
rnacentral:rRNA from 1 species